rfam:Myotis davidii contig155381, whole genome shotgun sequence.
GGUGGUUCUUGGGUGACACACCCCAGAAUCAGGCUUCCUCCUCUCUGGUUCAGGGUGUGUCAUCCAAGAACUUCA